ACGGCAGUGAAAAUGCCAAAUGGUAAUCACUGGACCACCAGCACUUACAUCCAUUAAAGGAUCUUCCAGAGCCCCUGUAUCAGUCUAGCAGGUCUUGUUGGAAGCUUCCAGCUCUCCAGAUGCUGAACGCAGUCCAUGGCUCAGUCACCAACCCCUCACUAUAUUCCUUUCUUAAUAAAGUGCCAAAUUUUUAUGUUUAAGCUA